GACGAACGCUGGCGGCGUGCCUAAUACAUGCAAGUUGAGCGAUGAAGAUUGGUGCUUGCCCCAAUUUGAAGAGCAGCGAACGGGUGAGUAACGCGUGGGGAAUCUGCCUUUGAGCGGGGGACAACAUUUGGAAACGAAUGCUGAUACCGCAUAAUAACUUUAAACAUAAGUUUUAAGUUUGAAAGAUGCAAUUGCGUCACUCAAAGAUGAUCCCGCGUUGUAUUAGCUAGUUGGCGAGGUAAAGGCUCACCAAGGCGAUGAUACAUAGCCGACCUGAGAGGGUGAUCGGCCACAUUGGGACUGAGACACGGCCCAAACUCCUACGGGAGGCAGCAGUAGGGAAUCUUCGGCAAUGGACGAAAGUCUGACCGAGCAACGCCGCGUGAGUGAAGAAGGUUUUCGGAUCGUAAAACUCUGUUGGUAGAGAAGAACGUUGGUGAGAGUGGAAAGCUCAUCAAGUGACGGUAACUACCCAGAAAGGGACGGCUAACUACGUG
rnacentral:rRNA from 1 species